rnacentral:rRNA from 1 species
UACGAAGGGGGCUAGCGUUGCUCGGCAUCACUGGGCGUAAAGCGCACGUAGGCGGAUUGCUAAGUCAGGGGUGAAAUCCUGGAGCUCAACUCCAGAACUGCCUUUGAUACUGGCGACCUUGAGUCCGGGAGAGGUGAGUGGAACUGCGAGUGUAGAGGUGAAAUUCGUAGAUAUUCGCAAGAACACCAGUGGCGAAGGCGGCUCACUGGCCCGGUACUGACGCUGAGGUGCGAAAGCGUGGGGAGCAAACAGG